UACGUAGGGGGCGAGCGUUGUCCGGAAUUAUUGGGCGUAAAGAGCGUGUAGGCGGUUCGGUAAGUCUGUCGUGAAAACCUGGGGCUCAACCCCAGGCGUGCGGUGGAUACUGCCGGGCUAGAGGAUGGUAGAGGCGAGUGGAAUUCCCGGUGUAGCGGUGAAAUGCGUAGAUAUCGGAAGGAACAUCAGUGGCGAAAGCGACUUCCUGGACCAAUACUGACGCUCAUGUGCGAAAGCGUGGGGAGCGAACAGG
rnacentral:rRNA from 1 species